AUGAAGCUGGAAUCGCUAGUAAUCGCGAAUCAGAAUGUCGCGGUGAAUACGUUCCCGGGUCUUGUACACACCGCCCGUCACACCAUGGGAGUCGGAAAUGCCCGAAGUCAGUGACCUAACCGAAAGGGAGGAGCUGCCGAAGGUGGAGCCGGUAACUGGGGUAAAGUCGUAACAAGGUACC
rnacentral:rRNA from 1 species